rnacentral:lncRNA from 1 species
UACACAGAGACUGUCUGAAGUAUGAUGAGAAGUAGGUCUACUAAGGUCACAAUCAAAAAUGGCAGUAUGUGCAUAGACUGUUUACAUCUUUUUCCUUAGUUCUGUCAAAAAAAAAAAAAGUUUUUUUUUUUUUGUUUUUUUUUUUUUUUUAAGACGCCUUUAUGUACACAGUCUUCUGGGGGAGAGGCCAGCAGUGGCUCAGAUCAAGGUGGAAUGAAAACAUUUCAGGGAAAGGAUUUUGCUUCUAGAAUCCCCAGCAAGGUGGGGGAAGAAUGAAGUAGAUACCAAGACACUCUGGAGAAAGUAAUCUUGGAAGGUUCAGCAAUACAAUGAAGUACAAGUACACUUUUGCAUCUGCCUAGUGAAGAAAUUAUAUGAGCCAGCUCAGCUCCUCGGUACCAUCAAAUAUUGAAUCACACUGCACUUCAGCUGCUUUGCCCUCAUCCAAGAGGAUAAAACAUUUCAGUUUGUCUACACUUUUGAGCUGUCUUUGA